UACAGAGGUCUCAAGCGUUGUUCGGAUUCAUUGGGCGUAAAGGGUGCGUAGGUGGCGCCGUAAGUCAGGUGUGAAAUUUCGGAGCUCAACUCCGAAACUGCAUUCGAUACUGGCGUGCUUGAGGACUGGAGAGGAGACUGGAAUUCAUGGUGUAGCAGUGAAAUGCGUAGAGAUCAUGAGGAAGACCAGUGGCGAAGGCGGGUCUCUGGACAGUUCCUGACACUGAGACACGAAGGCCAGGGGAGCAAACGGG
rnacentral:rRNA from 1 species